rnacentral:rRNA from 1 species
CAGCCGCCGCGGUAAUACGUAGGGUGCGAGCGUAAUCGGAAUUACUGGGCGUAAAGCGUGCGCAGGCGGUUAUAUAAGACAGAUGUGAAAUCCCCGGGCUCAACCUGGGACCUGCAUUUGUGACUGUAUAGCUAGAGUACGGUAGAGGGGGAUGGAAUUCCGCGUGUAGCAGUGAAAUGCGUAGAUAUGCGGAGGAACACCGAUGGCGAAGGCAAUCCCCUGGACCUGUACUGACGCUCAUGCACGAAAGCGUGGGGAGCAAACAGGAUUAGAUACCCGAGUAGUCCCUGUCUCUUAUACA